rnacentral:rRNA from 1 species
GCGGGGCAUCAUGGAUAUCCUUUCGGGGAGAUCUGAUGGCGACCGGCGUACGGGUGAGUAACGCGUAUCCAACCUGCCCUUUACUAUGGGACAGCCCGUCGAAAGGCGGAUUAAUACCGUAUGUUGUCAUGUUGAUGCAUAUUUUCAUGACCAAAGGCUUCGGCCGGUAAAGGAUGGGGAUGCGUCUGAUUAGCUUGCCGGCGGGGUAACGGCCCACCGGGGCGACGAUCAGUAGGGGUUCUGAGAGGAAGGUCCCCCACAUUGGAACUGAGACACGGUCCAAACUCCUACGGGAGGCAGCAGUGAGGAAUAUUGGUCAAUGGGCGCGAGCCUGAACCAGCCAAGUAGCGUGCAGGAUGACGGCCCUAUGGGUUGUAAACUGCUUUUAUACGGGGAUAAAGUAUGCCACGUGUGGUAUAUUGCAGGUACCGUAUGAAUAAGGACCGGCUAAUUCCGUGCCAGCAGCCGCGGUAAUACGGAAGGUCCGGGCGUUAUCCGGA